UACGGGGGGGGCAAGCGUUGUUCGGAAUUCCUGGGCGUAAAGGGCUCGUAGGCGGCCAACUAAGUCAGACGUGAAAUCCCUCGGCUUAACCGGGGAACUGCAUCUGAUACUGGAUGGCUUGAGUUCGGGAGAGGGAUGCGGAAUUCCAGGUGUAGCGGUGAAAUGCGUAGAUAUCUGGAGGAACACCGGUGGCGAAGGCGGCAUCCUGGACCGGCACUGACGCUGAGGAGCGAAAGCCAGGGGAGCAAACGGG
rnacentral:rRNA from 1 species